CGUGGGUAAAUUUUCUUUGAAAUGUUGCCUAAAAUAAUAAACUGCAGGAUUUUUAAUCAGCAUGGUUAAUACUUUGAGCCCACGUCCAGUAAUGUUUUGGCAUGGUAUUAUAUAAUUUAUUGAGUUUUGUUUUUACUGCUUUUAACAUAUUACACCCUUAUAUGAAGUUACGUUUCGUUUUUAUCGAAUUGAAAAAAAUGUAUGUCCUUA
rnacentral:lncRNA from 1 species